CGGUAAAGGUAAGUUAGGUUAGGGGUAAGGGAAGGACGGUUCCGUUUCGUUAAGGUAACCGUCCGUCGGAACGGAAGGGUUACGUUACGUUUAAAGGGUUUAAAGGGUUCGUCGGUAGGGGUAAGGUUACUACAAAGGUAAGGUCGGAACGUAAGUCGUCGUACGAACUAGUAGGUAAGGUACGGACGUAAUUAAGGGGUUGGGGUAAAGAAACCGUCCCUACCGACCGUACGUACCGACCGUUACGUUCUUCGUACACGUUCAUCGGAGCAGGGUGAGUCGGCCCCUAAGGCGAGGCAGAGAUGCGUAGCUGAUGGGAAGCAGGUUAAUAUUCCUGCACCGUCGUAUGAUGCGAUGGGGGGACGGAUCGCGGAAGGUUGUCCGACUGUUGGAAUAGUCGGUUUUUAACCUGGAGAAGGCUGUUAGGCAAAUCCGGCAGCGUAAUUCAAGGGGUUGAGACGAGWSAMUUWRKUSWYGAAGCAAUCGGAAGUGGUUCCAAGAAAAGCCUCUAAGCUUCAGUCAUACGAGACCGUACCGCAAACCGACACAGGUGGGCGAGAUGAGUAUUCUAAGGCGCUUGAGAGAACUCGGGAGAAGGAACUCGGCAAAUUGGUACCGUAACUUCGGGAUAAGGUACGCCCUUGUAGUUUGACUGCCCUGCGGCAGAAGGACGAAGGGGUUGCAAUAAACUGGUGGCUGCGACUGUUUAAUAAAAACACAGCACUCUGCAAACACGAAAGUGGACGUAUAGGGUGUGACGCCUGCCCGGUGCUGGAAGAUUAAAUGAUGGGGUGCAAGCUCUUGAUUGAAGUCCCAGUAAACGGCGGCCGUAACAAUAACGGUCCUAAGGUAGCGAAAUUCCUUGUCGGGUAAGUUCCGACCUGCACGAAUGGCGUAACGAUGGCCACACUGUCUCCUCCCGAGACUCAGCGAAGUUGAAAUGUUUGUGAUGAUGCAAUCUACCCGCGGCUAGACGGAAAGACCCCAUGAACCUUUACUGUAGCUUUGCAUUGGACUUUGAAUCGAUCUGUGUAGGAUAGGUGGGAGGCUUUGAAGCGUGGACGCCAGUUUGCGUGGAGCCAUCCUUGAAAUACCACCCUGGUUUAUUUGAGGUUCUAACCUUGGCCCGUAAUCCGGGUCGGGGACAGUGCAUGGUAGGCAGUUUGACUGGGGCGGUCUCCUCCCAAAGUGUAACGGAGGAGUUCGAAGGUACGCUAGGUACGGUCGGACAUCGUGCUAAUAGUGCAAUGGCAUAAGCGUGCUUAACUGCGAGACUGACAAGUCGAGCAGGUACGAAAGUAGGACAUAGUGAUCCGGUGGUUCUGUAUGGAAGGGCCCAUCGCUCAACGGAUAAAAGGUACUCUGGGGAUAACAGGCUGAUUCCUCCCAAGAGUUCAUAUCGACGGGGGAGUUUGGCACCUCGAUGUCGGCUCAUCACAUCCUGGGGCUGUAGCCGGUCCCAAGGGUAUGGCUGUUCGCCAUUUAAAGUGGUACGUGAGCUGGGUUUAAAACGUCGUGAGACAGUUUGGUCCCUAUCUGCCGUGGGCGUUGGAAGUUUGAAGGGGGCUGCUCCUAGUACGAGAGGACCGGAGUGGACGAACCUCUGGUGUAUCGGUUGUCACGCCAGUGGCAUUGCCGAGUAGCUAUGUUCGGAAGAGAUAACCGCUGAAAGCAUCUAAGCGGGAAACUCGCCUUAAGAUGAGACUUCCCAGAGACUUGAUCUCUUUAAA
rnacentral:rRNA from 1 species